rnacentral:rRNA from 1 species
UGGGGAAUAUUGCACAAUGGGCGCAAGCCUGAUGCAGCCAUGCCGCGUGUAUGAAGAAGGCCUUCGGGUUGUAAAGUACUUUCAGUCGGGAGGAAGGUGGUAAGGUUAAUAACCUUAUCAAUUGACGUUACCGACAGAAGAAGCACCGGCUAACUCCGUGCCAGCAGCCGCGGUAAUACGGAGGGUGCAAGCGUUAAUCGGAAUUACUGGGCGUAAAGCGCACGCAGGCGGUUGAUUGAGUCAGAUGUGAAAUCCCCGGGCUUAACCCGGGAAUUGCAUCUGUGACUGGUCAGCUAGAGUCUUGUAGAGGGGGGUAGAAUUCCAUGUGUAGCGGUGAAAUGCGUAGAGAUGUGGAGGAAUACCGGUGGCGAAGGCGGCCCCCUGGACAAAGACUGACGCUCAGGUGCGAAAGCGUGGGGAGCAAACAGG